rnacentral:sRNA from 1 species
UCUCGUUUUUUGAGAUGUUCAGGUUUUGGAGCAAUGGGGGGUUUUUUAUUAGAUUUUACCUGAACUUUUUGAGCCUCUGACGGUAAUACCGGGUUAUUUAAUCUAUUUAACUCUUUUGAGAUUUGUUUUAAUUUGUCUUGUACUUCUAUCUUUAAAGGAGUAUGUGAGCUUUUAAUUUUAUCAUUGAUUAUUUUUGCUACUGACUUAAGAUUUUCUUUAGAAAUGGAAUAUGAUUUUAUACCUAUAUAAUUAGCAACUUUUGACCACAAAGUUUGUCCUUUAUCCAAUCCUUGAUAUAU